CACAACUCUCAGCCAGGCGCCUGUGCCAGAGGCCAGGAGCCCCGCGCCCCCGUCUGGGUGCUGCGCCUAUCCUGCUGCCCUCGUCUUCACCGGGCGACCCUUCCCCUUCAGUCACCUGGGUGAGAGCUUUGCAGGCUGUGCCGGAGGGCGGGCCGAGAGGUUAAAUCGUGAGGAAGGGGGAAGAGCAGCUGAGUGCCCGCGGGUGGUUCAUUUCUCUCCGGGGGGUCUGGUGGCGAGUGAAAUCCCGGGAUGCUCUAACCUGCUUUCCGUGGAGCAAGUAAACAGCAAGAGGGCUGGGGAGGCGUGAAGGUUCAAUUUCAAAUUUGAAUCUCCUGUAAUAUUGACUGUAAACUAAUUUCCCAAGAUUUUUGUGUAAGAGGCAGAUGAAAAAGACUGUACUUUCAGGUUUUGCGAGAAUACCUCACAUCAGACUCCGAAGCAAGAUUUACUCCCAACUUUGAAGUGGAAUCUGGUCUGGAAUUUUUAGUUUUCACGUUUGGGAUGACCUUUAGUGCUCCCCCCAAGCAGAACAUGGGCUCCUUGAGGUCCUGUGCUGUGGUCUUACUCCCUGCAGUGUGCACAUGGCCCUGAGCAGAGCCUGACACAGAGAAAGUGCUCAGUAAAUAGCUCUGAACUGACCGAUUGACGGCCUGAGAAAAAUGCACUUCUGUUUUCUGCUCAUCCAAGUCUGUCAGCACCUUCUCCUCUGCCACCCGGCGGUUAUGCGUUGUUAAUGAGGAUGCUAUUGUCUAAAUUUCUGUAGCUAUGGCACAAGAAUAUAGCAUGUGGAGGUUCCCAAGCUAGGAGUCUAAUUGAAGCUACAGCUGCCGGCCUACACCACAGCCACAGCGACGCCAGAACCAAGCAAACCAAGCAGCGUCACGGUAAUACCAGAUCCCUAACCCACUGAGCAAGGCUAGGGAUCGAACCUGCAACCUCAUGGUUCCUAGUUGGAUUCACUUCUGCUGAGCUGCGACGGGAACCCUAGCUUGAUUUUUAAUCACCAUAAAUUACAGUCCUCUCAAGGGAUGCUGUACAAAAAUUAACACGUCAGGGAGUUGGGGUGGAAUGUGGACAACUUUCUGGAAGAGACUGUACCCAAAUGCAGUCUUGGAGGAGGAGAAAGAAUUAAACAAGAGAAAGAGGGGUGGGUAGGACUGAACCCAGAGAAGGAGGGAAGAGAAUUGCAUGAGGUUGUUUUUCAGGAGAAGCUGCCAUUCAGUUUGUCCUGAAGGCUCCAGAGCGCAUUCAAGGCCUUGGCGCAGGUUCCCUUUCCCCUUUGCCGGAGUUGAAGGCUCAGAGUGCAGUGCUGUUAACCAGGGAGAUGGGUGGUGCACCUGGGAAAUUCUUUUGCCUUGAGAGCAGAGGGAAGCUAUUGUAAAGUUUCCAGCAAGUGAGUGUUAAGUGUUGGUCUGCAUGCAUGCACUUUAUAAACACUCCGUCCUGAUUAGGCAAAGUGAUCAAAUUUUAAAGCGCAAGAUAAUGCAAACACACCGGACUAUUUUUUAAGACCAGACUUACCUUGUCCAGCUGGGGGCUUUCUUUCACUUUGCCCCAAAGACCAAGAGGGUGGCCCAGAAACUUCCUGCCGCAAGGUUUUACCUUUGAGCACUUAGUUUGCAUUUUACUUAACUUUUUUUUUCUUAGUUUCUAAAUUAAUAUUUAAGUGAUAAAGUUUAUAGAUUUGUGAGUAAAAUCUCAUUUAGAAAUCAGGGAUUUUUAAGUUGGAGGCAGAGAUAAAAGUAAUUUUAUUUGAAGGCUAUAUAUAAUGUGUAUAUUUGUAUGUACAUAAUUAGUUUAAAAUCAUAAAUUUUUGCAUCCUGAGGAAAACAUUUACAUAGUAAAAAAACUUGGAGGAUUGUGGUGUGCAUUGAAUUAAAGUUAUUUCAUUUGUUCUUAAUUUUGGUUGACAAGUUGCUGGAAACAUUGGUAGAGGGCCCUUAUUUUCAGGACCAGGAGAAGUAUACAAAAAGACUCAAAGUGUCUCAGCUGUGAAGUGUUCCAUCAAGUACUUUCCGUCAGGUUGGCCGGGGAGCACCCUGCCUCUCUGAUCAUAAGUAGAUUCUUUUCAGUCUUCAUCACCCUCUGCCUUUCUUUUCUGGUUCUGUAAGGAGUGGAGUCUCUUCAGAUGUGCUACCCCCUGCACUGCAUCCUUUCUCUCCCCUGUUCAUAUUCAAAGCCUGUCUUACUGUGUUUGCACACCAACCCACACAGGGAGUCUGGGAGACCUCAUCAGUAGACAGGAGUAGCUCCUGGCGGAUUGGGAUUGGGCCGUCUUGAAAGAGAGACAUAUUUCUCACUUUUUCAGCACUAUUUCAGUUUUUUUAUUUUAAACAAGAAGCAAUUCAUGCCUUGAUUUAAAAACAACUUUGAAAAGGGGACAGCAAAGGAGAGAUUUUUGUGCAGGAGAUUAUCGUGACCAUCAUUAAUUGGAAGGCAGUCAUUUUUAAUCUCUGGUUUCUGUUGUCUCUGCCACCCCGCUAUCCUGUGAAUGUGUUUACUUUGCUAGGAUUCCUAAUAGCUGGUUCUGUUGCACAGUAGUUAUUUCAUAGUGGUGGUGCCUUAUCUACUUCUGAUUGGCUUCUUGUUGCUCUUUUAAAAGACGUGCUCGUUUUUUAUGACUAUUUUUCAUGCCCUUUGAUGAUGAGUGGAUUGAUGGCAGGAAGGUCAAGCUGUAUUACUUUCAUUCACUGCUGUUGUGAAGGCUCCUCGAAAGAGAAAGAUGGAGCCGAAAUCAAUAUUAAAUUUCAAUAAUGUGGACUUUUUUUAGCAUGUCUUUCUCCACAUGGAUAUUUAUGAGAUAAUCAUAAUUAUAAUAUAAAUUGUAUUAAUGUAUCAGUUAAUCUCUAGUUCAUCUUAGCUGGGACCGUGGAGCUUUUGUUGCAAAUGAUUCCGUUUCAAGAAUGCUGAGUUUCUCUGCUUUGGGGUCAAGGAUUGGAUGGAUCUCUUUCCUCCAGAACCUAAAAAUCUAAUUGAUGAGAAAAGACCCAACCACGUGUAGAGUUAAUUUCAGAAAGUAGUGGAAGGAGAGGCACUUUGGAGAGAGCUGGGUGCUCUGGUGCAAGGAAUGUCGCUUAGGGAUCCGGCUCUCUUGGCCACAGGGUCCUCAUAGGCAAACUGCAGCAGGGGAUACCCGCCUGCAGAUUGAUGUGAGGAGUAAAUGAGGUGGUUAAGGCUCCGUGGCUCAUACAUGGGGAUGCUCCGACGGUAGUUACGGCUGGUGGCAGCAGAUGAAAAGUAAGUUCUAGAAGGACAGCCUGCUGUGGCAGACAGGCUAAGAGUCAGGGAAUGAGGAGAUCUGGCACCCCCUGUGGGCUCUGCCCCUGGCUGUGUCACCUUGGUGGCCUACAGUUUCUGGCCCCAAGCAUACCCCCCAUCCCUUCUGGAAAAUGAAGGGCUCAGACAAGGUGUUCUUUGAAUAACCCACAGUUUAAACUUCUGAAGGUCAGCAGGAGAGAUACCGUCAAUUCAGGUCCAGUGAUCCACUGGAGCUUCAUGAAAAGGUGCCCGUAUUUAUUUCCACAGGAAGAAGGAAGGCACUUGGGGGUGGGUGUCUCGUCGUCCUGACCUCCAGGCCUAAGUCCCCCAGUAGUGUGGUUCCUUGGAGGGGCCUCCAAAGGCAGUGUCGCAACCACUGCAGCAUUUUAAGGGAGUUCAUUAUCAGUAUUUUCCCCCACUGGGUGUGUUCUGGCUGGAUGUAGAGACUGAUACCUGGAUUGGGCUUCAGAAGUGAUACUCAGGCUGUAAGUGGAAGCCUUUUUUCUUUUAUAAUGCACUUUCAAAGUAGUUUUCUGCCAUAAAUCCUCCAACUGCCAGCCCAGCAUUCACUGAGGGGGAGCCGGCCCCACAGCAAGCCCGUUGUCAGAUAGUCUGCUUCUGUCUCUGUAGGUGGAGAUGCUCACCUCCCAGGUGCCUGUGAGGCCUGAGGGAAUGCACACGGGACAGGGAGUGGGAGGGAUGCAGGCCCACUCUCCCCCACCUCGGGAGAGUUAUCCUCAGAAAUGAGCAUCCGAUGAAACGGACAAAUAACCCAUCUGCAGUCUGAACUUAAGGAAGUCCUAAGGCAGUGUGGAGUGAUUUUAUGUUUUAAUUUUUUUCCUUUUAAGUUCUUGGUCCUUGGAUGGUAUUUGUAAAUCUCCCGUUGUGGCUCAGCAGGUUAAGGCGCCAACCUUGUCUCUAUGAAGACACAGGUUCGAUCCCUGGCCUCACUCAGUGGGGUUAAGGAUCCGGCAUUGCUUCAGGCUGCAGUGCAGGUCACAGAUGUGGCUUGGAUUCGAGCCCUGGCCUGGGAACAUCCAUGAGCCGCAGGAGCGGCCCUAAAAAGAAGACAAAUCUGCUAAAUGAAAUAUGGUUACUAUUUACAUUAAUUGUGACGACCAAUAGUGAUUAGGUUAUAAGAGUUGCAUGUGGAAGGAACUUUAUGUUCACCCAUUGUUCUUCCUGAUGUGACUGAUUUUCUGCUCUUUUCUUAAACUGAAGGUAAAAAUGCUUUUCAAGUGCCCUUAGAUUCUUUUUGGGAUAUAAAUAUUCAGAUGAGAAAGUCCUGGUUAUCCUUGGCAAAGCCAGUUGUGAUGUUCUGUCUCACUGAACCUUCCGGUGUCCCACACUCCUCUCUUCCUCUUCCAGCUGGAUUAUGGGGACUUGAGGGUGGAACUGUUCCUUGGCUCCUCUGAUGAUGAUUGGGUUAGUGCAAAGCACUCAACAGGCUCAAAGAGCUCAGGUUUGUAGCCUGAAAAGCUUAAUGAUGCAAAUUCUAAGCUGCAGUUCAUCAGGUGUGGAUCAAAGGCAAUUUUCAUGGCUUCUCUAGUUGAAACCUGACUUAAUACAGUUCAGAUUCCCUCCUGCCCUCAGAGAAAGUCAAUACUUCCAGGUUCUUCCUUUCCGGGUUAGAUAUACAGUUUCAGUUCAGCCAUCGAUACCUUAUAGCACUAUCAUAAUGCUCUCUGGUGUCGCCCUGCAGGCCAAACAGUGACAUUCUUGAAAUGGAGUCAGAAUCUCUGCAGAGGGUUGUGAGGACAAAAAGUGGGAACGUGGGUGUGUUCCAGGAAAGGGCCGCGAGUGAUGGUGAUUCAGUCUGUGCUUGGUUUAGGGAGCCUCGCCUUCCCCAGGUCACUGCAACCUUGUGAAAGGGUGAAAAAGAGUCUCUUGGCUGUGAGGGGGCGUUUAUGUUAAUAUGAAAUAUAAAGAAAGAAAUGAGGAAAUACAAGCAAUUGUGCUAAUCAUUAUAUAAAGUAAUUAUUCAAAUCCCAUAAAUACUACUAAUCUUACAAUCUUUAGUGCUAGUACUUCAUGUAGCCCUCUUUGAUUCCAUCUUAAUGAGGGGAUUGAGGACAAGAUCAUCUUGUUGGAAGAACCUGAUGUCUGUUGCAUUUUGACUUGUUUGGUGAUUUGAGUGGUUGGAGGUUUAAGGGCCCGUAUUUAAUAAUUAGUAUUCACAUGUGUGUUCAUCCUACUGCAUUCCCAUAUUUUAUUUUUUUUUUAGUAAUGGAAUGAUGAACUUUUUUUUUCUCCUUUCUGAUUAUAAAAGUUAUACAUGCUCAUUUUAGAAAGUAGAUAAUAUAGACAAAUACCAAAAAGGAAAAAAUACCUAGAAAUUAUUCAUACUAUAGCUGUCUAAAGACAAGCAUUAUAAAUCCUUUGGCUUGUUAACGUACUUAUAUGUGACUUUUUUAAAAACACAGCUAAAUUUAUCAUAUAUAUACAAUUUUGUUUGUAUCCUGAAUUCUUCUAAAAUUGAGUCUAUUUGUUCCCAGUUACAUUUGGUAGGAUGCACAGUAUAAAAAUUUUUUUAGGAGUUCCUGUCAUGUCUCAGCGGUUAGCUAACCCAACUAGCAUCCAUGAGGACUCGGGUUUGAUCCCUGGCCUAGCUCAGUGGGUUAAAGAGCCAGCAUUGCCGUGAGCUGUGGUACAGGUCGCAGAAGGGACUCAGAUCCUGAGUCACUGAGGCUCUGGUGUAGGCCAGCGGCUACAGUUGCGAUUGGACCCCUAGCCUGGGAACUCCCAUAUGCCACAGGUGCAGCCCUAAAAAGACAAAAAG
rnacentral:lncRNA from 1 species